rnacentral:rRNA from 1 species
UACGUAGGGUGCGAGCGUUAAUCGGAAUUACUGGGCGUAAAGUGUGCGCAGGCGGCCGCGCAAGUCGAGUGUGAAAGCCCCGGGCUUAACUUGGGAAUUGCGCUCGAAACUACGUGGCUGGAGUGUGGCAGAGGAAGGUGGAAUUCCACGUGUAGCGGUGAAAUGCGUAGAGAAUGUGGAGGAACACCAAUGGCGAAGGCAGCCAUUCUGGGCCGAACACUGACGCUCAUGACACGAAAGCGUGGGGAGCAA